rnacentral:tRNA from 1 species
GUGCCUGUAGCUCAGUCGGUAGAGCACUGGCCACAUAUGCCAAAGCUAGCAGGUUUGAACCCUGCCCGGGCCA